UAAUGUUUUGCGUUUCAGUUUUGUGUCAUUUUCCUAUUCAGUUUUGCGCGCCCCAAUUUAAUAUUUAUCGUCUCUCAGCUGAAGCUAAGUUCUGUUUUAGACCAAAGAGAAGAGACCAACCACAGAUAUGGUUUGACGGCGGACAGCCUCAGGCCAUUUCCUGAAGCUGAAAGCUUUUGUUUUACAUUGAAAAGUUGCCUUCGUAUUCAUGAGUGGUUAUGAGAUGUGGCAGAACCUUUCCUUGUCAGAUCUGCAAGCUCAUGUUAUUUGCAUCCUGCAAUUAUUAUUUAAUAAUUGUUAGUUUUGAAAUGAGUCCCUGCGAAAAAUUUCAACCGCCUUAACGGGAUGCGAAGGAAACGUGAGAGAUUGUAGGAGCAAAAAUUGAAAAUUGAGCUUCACCUCUUACCUUACAAUAGAUACAUACGGGACAUAAAGAUGGUUAUAUUUUUAUAGAGAUUAUUUUCUCCCAUGGCAGCAAUCACGAAUGCCAUUAUGUGCAUGUUAUCUUAAUAACUUUGCUGACUUAUAUUUGCAC
rnacentral:misc_RNA from 1 species